rnacentral:tRNA from 1 species
GGGCGAUUAGCUCAGCUGGUCCAGAGCGCCUGCUUUACACGCAGGAUGUCGGCGGUUCGAAUCCGUCAUCGCCCACAA